AGCCCCUCACUCGGGGCCCUCAAAGAGCACGCUUAUAAAAACAUUCUUCCCGUGAUGGAGUGCUUCCUUUGGGCUUCUUCGGCUUGUAACAGAUUAAAGGCGAACAGGCAUUUGUCAUGGGGAAGUGUACCCAGUUGUGCUGGAAAAUGGACUUUUCGAUGAGCGUGAGAGCUUGAACCUGUCACAGAGGGGAGAGCCUGUGUUAUUGCAGCCUGCCGGGCCGCGGUGGCCGCUGCGGCUUAUCGGCUGUGGCAGGCAUCACCUACGACUGCAAGGAUCCCAUUACGGAGGCCCUGAAGAGACUGAAUGGGAGAGUGUGACUGCUCCCUGCAAAUCCUCCCCAUGUCUGGACUGAGGAAAUAGCUCGAAGCACCAUCCGUCUCCUGGUGGAGCAGCAGCAGCGUCCAGAGGCUGGGGGCUGAGGCUCCUUGUUUCCAACAAGCUCCUAGGUGAUGGAUGCUGCUGGCAGGUGCACCACACUGAGUUGCAAGACUCGUCCCUCCAGGCACCCCCUUCACAGGUUCAGCAUCCUCGCUGCCAUCUCCUCACAAAUGCGGGAAGGGAGCCACCACCCCAGGCUGGGCUAACUCGCAUGAGGACACCACUAACAUUGUCUGCGUUCCAUUUACGUUAGACAGGCAGGUCUACAAUGUUUGAAGUUUACAGAUUUCUUGGAUAUAGCAGUGAAAGGUUUGUAUUUUUUAUCUGUAAGGAAAAAUUGUGAAGUUUACAUCAUUGCAAAAUAAACAGAACUGUGACUUCUGUUUCA
rnacentral:lncRNA from 1 species